UACAGAGGUCUCAAGCGUUGUUCGGAUUCAUUGGGCGUAAAGGGUGCGUAGGCGGCGCGGUAAGUCGGGUGUGAAAUCUCGGAGCUUAACUCCGAAACUGCAUUCGAUACUGCCGUGCUUGAGGACUGGAGAGGAGACUGGAAUUUACGGUGUAGCGGUGAAAUGCGUAGAUAUCGUAAGGAAGACCAGUGGCGAAGGCGGUUCUCUGGGCCUGUACUGACGCUGAGGAGCGAAAGCGUGGGGAGCGAACAGG
rnacentral:rRNA from 1 species